GCAGGCAUAGAGAGAUAUAUAUGCAAUAUACAUAUAAAACUGAACUAAACAAAAAGCGGUAGGUAAACAACUAUAUCAAGCUAUGCCUCAAUCUGGAAUCAUGAAUGCAUGAACAAUAAACAAGCUGGGUAAGUAAGCAACUAUCAACAUCUACAACAGCUAUCAUAGUAACUAUAGAAUAUGCUACUAGGUAAGCAAGUAAGCUGAUAUGAACAAUGAAUAGCUACUAUGAACAUCAAUCAUGGGUAGGACUCAAUAGGUAACCCAAUCUCCAAGUGAACACGAGGUCCACAAGCAAGACUCACAUAUCAAUCUCCUAGGGAUGUCGAGCUGGACUAUCCCCGAGUACGCCUGCGGAUAACAAGCGGCUAUCCGAGCAGCAAGCAGGGCUGCCUCUCUAGUGACCAAACUCCGGAGCGCACAACUUGAGGGGAGCGACCCCACCAAGCGCAGACAGGCAAUGUGAGCAAGAUCAUCUCACGAGCAACAGCAACAACCCUUUUGAGGGUAAUAUCAUCAUGGAAUCAAGGUAUACUUGUACCCAAUCUCAUAGUGUCUCAACUACACUAAUGUGAUCAUCUCAAGGAAACAUCAUCAAUGUCAAUCAUCAUAGUUUUUCUAACUAGAUGCCACUUGUCAUAGUUUUCUAACUAGAUGCCACUCGUCAUUUAGACUCAUUAUCAACACUAGUUCUUUAGCAACAUAAACAAUCAUCAUCUCAUAUAGGGUUCUCAUCAUAUAUCAUUAUACAACCAACAUGCACACUAGAUCAUAAUCAUUCAACCAGGUUUAAUUAUAGCUACUAGCAUGCAAUCAUAAGCAACCCCACUCAUUUCUAACCCUAUAUAAACAUGCACAAUAUGCAAUAAGAUCAUUAUUAGACUUAGACAUAGAAGGUGGCCCGAUGACUUCGGGAUGGCACUCCCCCACCUUAGGCGAUGCCGAAAACACUCCGAGACGCGCUCUUAUGCUAGUCUUGUCGCCGCUUAAUUUUUUUGUUGGGUUAGCUUUAACCCUUUAGCACUUCAAAUGGCGAUAUCUUCGCGCUCGAUUUUCGUAUCGACGAA
rnacentral:lncRNA from 1 species